UCUAAUACCGGAUANNANNNNNNNNNGCAUCUGCGAGGGUUAAAAGCUCCGGCGGUGCAGGAUGAGCCCGCGGCCUAUCAGCUUGUUGGUGAGGUAAUGGCUCACCAAGGCGACGACGGGUAGCCGGCCUGAGAGGGCGACCGGCCACACUGGGACUGAGACACGGCCCAGACUCCUACGGGAGGCAGCAGUGGGGAAUAUUGCACAAUGGGCGAAAGCCUGAUGCAGCGACGCCGCGUGAGGGAUGACGGCCUUCGGGUUGUAAACCUCUUUCAGCAGGGAAGAAGCGAAAGUGACGGUACCUGCANAAGAAGCGCCGGCUAACUACGUGCCAGCAGCCGCGGUAAUACGUAGGGCGCAAGCGUUGUCCGGAAUUAUUGGGCGUAAAGAGCUCGUAGGCGGCUUGUCACGUCGAUUGUGAAAGCCCGAGGCUUAACCUCGGGUCUGCAGUCGAUACGGGCU
rnacentral:rRNA from 1 species